CUACGGGAGGCAGCAGUGGGGAAUUUUCCGCAAUGGGCGAAAGCCUGACGGAGCAAUGCCGCGUGAGGGAUGAAGGCUCUUGGGUCGUAAACCUCUUUUCUGUGGGAAGAAUAAAUGACGGGACCACAGGAAUCACCAUCGGCUAACUCCGUGCCAGCCCCCGCGGUAAUACGGAGGAUGCGAGCGUUAUCCGGAAUCAUUGGGCGUAAAGCGUCCGUAGGUGGCUAUUCAAGUCUGCCGUCAAAGACUGGGGCUUAACCCCGGAAAGGCGGUGGAAACUGAAUAACUAGAGUGCGGUAGGGGUAGAGGGAAUUCCCAGUGUAGCGGUGAAAUGCAUAGAGAUUGGGAAGAACACCGGUGGCGAAAGCGCUCUACUGGGCCUGCACUGACACUGAGGGACGAAAGCUAGGGGAGCGAAAGGGAUUAGAUACCCCUGUAGUCCUAGCCAUAAACUAUGGAUACUAGGUGUUGGCAGUAUCGACCCUGCCAGUCCCCGAGCUAACGCGUUAACUAUCCCGCCUGGGGAGUACGCACGCAAGUGUGAAACUCGAAUGAAUUGACGG
rnacentral:rRNA from 1 species